rnacentral:rRNA from 1 species
GUGUCAGCCGCCGCGGUAAUACGUAGGUGGCAAGCGUUGUCCGGAUUUAUUGGGUUUAAAGGGUGCGUAGGCGGCCCUGUAAGUCAGUGCUGAAAUAUCCCGGCUUAACCGGGAGGGUGGCAUUGAUACUGCGGGGCUAGAGUACAGAUGAGGUAGGCGGAAUUGACGGUGUAGCGGUGAAAUGCUUAGAUAUCGUCAAGAACACCUAUAGCGAAGGCAGCUUACUAGGCUGUAACUGACGCUGAGGCACGAAAGUGUGGGGAUCAAACAGGAUUAGAAACCCCUGUAGUCC